rnacentral:rRNA from 1 species
ACUCUGACAGGGAUAUCGGCUCUAGCAUCGAUGAAGAAACGUGGCGAAAUCGAUACUUGGUGUGAAUUGCGAAUCCGUGAACCAUCCCGGUCUUUGAAGCAAAGUUAAGCCCCAAACCUUACGGCGAGAACGCGUCUGCUGGGUGUCACAAAUCGUCGUCCCCAUCCUCGAGGAUAUCGGACGGAAGCUGGUCUCCGUGUGUUACCGCCGCAGCGGUUGGCCAAAAUCCUAGCUAAGGAUGCCGGGGCGUCUUGACAUGCGGUGGUGAAUUCAAUUCUCGUCAAAUCGUCGGUCGUUUGGUCCAAAGCUCUUGAUGACCCAAAGUCCUCAAAUGACCCCAGGUCGGCCGGGAUCACCAGCUGAGUUUAAACAUAUCAAUAAAAGCGGAGGAAAAACUAACAAGGAUUCCCUUAAUAACGGCGGCGAACGGGAAGAGCCCGGCUUGAAAAAUCGGACGUCUUGGCGUUGAAUUAUAGUCUGGAGAAGCGUCCUCAGCGUGGACCGGGCCCCAAGUUCCCUGGAAAGGGCGCCAGAGGUGAAACCCGUCGUGCGGACCCUGUCGCUUUCCGCAGCUAAUCUCUGAGAGUCGGGUUGUUUGGGAAUGCAGCCCCAAUCGGGCGGUAAAUUCCGUCGAAAGGCUAAAUAUGGGCGAAGACCGAUGGCGAACAAGUACCGCGAGGUAAAGAUGAAAAGGACUUUGAAAAGUCAAAGUGCUUGAAAUUGUCGGGAGGGGAAGCGGAUGGGGGCGGCGAUGCGUCCCGGUCCGGAUCGCGAGCGGAACAAUCCGGUCCAUACCGUCGAUUCGAGGCGUGGACCGGCGGGAUUAAGGUGGUGACCUAAGCCCGAGCUUUUAUUUCGCCAGCGGAGGCGUCGCUGCCUUAAUCGUGGUCUGCAACCGCAGCCCUCCUGGCGUGCCUCGGCAUCUGCGUGCUCGAGGGCGUCGGCCUGUGGGCUCCCCAUUCGACCCGUCUUGAAACCACGGACCAAAGGAGUCUGACAUGUGUGCGAGUCAACGGGUGGAAAUAAACCUGUAAAGGCAUAAAGGAAGCUGAUUGGCUGGAUCCCUCACGGUGCACAGCCGACCGACCUGAUUUUACGAAGGUUCGAGUGUGAGCAUGCUGCCGGGACCGAAAGAUGGUGAACUAUGCCUGGCGGAAGCGAAGCCAGAGAAACUCUGGUGGAGGCCAUAGCGAUCUGGCGAUGCAAAUCGUUAAAUGGAAACUUGGGUAUAGAGGCGAAAGACUAAUCGAACCAUCUAAGCUGGUUCCCUCCGAAGUUUCCCUCGGGAUAGCUGGGGCUUCGGAAGCGAGUUCUAUCGGGUAAAAGCCAAUGAUUAGAGGCAUCGGGGGCCAUAGCGUCCUCGACCUAUUCUCAAACUUUAAAUAGGUAGGGCCCAGGUGGCUGCUUUGUUGAAACCAUCCCACGGAAUCGAGAGCUCCAGUGGGCCAUUUUGGUAAGCGAGAACUGGCGUCUGCGGGAUGAACGCGAAGCGGGUUCGGUGCCCAACUGCUGCAACCUAGAACCCACAAAGGGUGUUGGUGAUUAAGACAGCAGGGCGGUGGUCAUGGAAGUCGAAAUCCUUAAGGAGUGUGUAACAACUCACCUGCGAAUCAACUAGCCCCCAAAAUGGAUGGCUGAAAGCCUUGACCCUAUCUACCGACCGUCGGGGCAAAGGCCAGACCUCGAUGAGUAGGAGGGAAGCGGUCGCUGCAAAACCUAGAAACGAGCCCGGUAGCGACCCGUCGGUGCAGAUCUUGGUGGUAGUAGCAAAUAUUCAAAUGAGAACUUUGAAGGCGAAGGGGAAAGGUUCCAUGUGAGCGGCACUUGCACAUGGGUUAGUCGAUCCUAAGAGUGGAAACCGUCUGAUAAGCGCUUAUCACGCUUGAACCGAAAGGGAUCGGUUAAAAUUCGGAACGGGGCGUGGCGGUUGGCCAAAGCGUUAGAGUCGGGAGGCGUCGGCGGAAUUCGGAAAGAGUUAUCUUUUCUGUUUAACAGCCUGCCCACCACGGAAGCGGCUCAGCCCGGUAGGGUCCAAGCGACUGGAAAAGCACCGCCGUCGCGUGGUGUCGAUUGCAUUCCGGCGACCCUUGAAAAUCGGAGGGCCAAAGUGCGCUCACGCCCGGUCAUUACUCAUAACGCAUCAGGUCUCCAAGGUGAACAGCCUCUGUCGAUGGAACAAUGUAGGCAAGGGAAGUCGGCAAAAUGGAUCCGUAACCGGGAAAAGUUUGGCUCGAGGGGCUGGGCUCGGGGUCCCAGUUCGAACCCGUCGACUGUUGGCGGGCUGCUUGAGCCCAUAGCGUGGCGAAGCGGACCCGCUUCGUGUCGGCCGGACGGACUGGGAGCGGCUCUUUAGGGAGCUUUCCCGGGCGUCGAACAACCAACUUCGAACUGGUGGGACAAGGGAAUCCGACUGUUUAAUUAAAACAAAGCAUUGCGAUGGUCCUUCGCGGAUGCUAGCGCCAAUGUGAUUUCUGCCAAGUGCUCUGAAUGUCAAAGUGAAGAAAUUCAACCAAAGCGGGUAGAUGGCGGCGGGAGUAACUAUGACUCUCUUAAAGGUAGCCAAAUGCCUCGUCAUCUAAUUAGUGGCGCGCAUGAAUGGAUUAACGAGAUUCCCCUGUCCUGUCUACUAUCCAUGAAAACCACAGCCAAAGGGGCGGGCUUGGCAGAAUCAGCGGGGAAAGAAGACCCUGUUGAGCUUGACUCUAGUCGACUUUGUGAAAUGACUUGAGGGUGUAGAAUAAGUGGGAACUCGGUAUGAGUGAAAUACCACUACUUUUAGCGUUAUUUUACUUACUCAGUGAAUCGGAGGCGGUAACAACCCUUCUUUUAGACCAAGACUUCGCCGGUAGGUCGAUCGGAGCGGAGGAGGACAUUGUCGGUGGGGAGUUUGGCUGGGGCGGCACAUCUGUUAAAGAUAGCGCCAAGGUGUCUAAGAUGAGCUCAGCGAGAACAAAAUCUCGUGUGGAACAAAAGGGUAAAAGCUCGUUUGAUUCUGAUUUUCAAUGCGAAUCUGAACCGUGGCGUGGCCUAUCGAUCCUUUAGAUCUUGAAUUUGAAGCUAGAGGUGUCGGAAAAGUUACCACAGGGAUAACUGGCUUGGCAGCCAAAGCGUUCAUAGCGGCGUUGCUUUUGAUCCUUCGAUGUCGGCUCUUCCUAUCAUUGUGAAGCAAAUUCACCAAGUGUUGGAUUGUUCACCCACAAAUAGGGAGCGUGAGCUGGGUUUUAGACCGUCGUGAGACAGGUUAGUUUUACCCUCUCUGCCAGCGUCGCAAUAGUAAUUCAACCUAAUGCGAGAGGAACGUUGAUUAGCCGCGGUUGGUCAUCGGCGCUUUGGUUGAAAAGCCGAUGUGAAGCUACCGUCGCUGGAUUAUGACUGAGCGCCUCUAAGUCAGAAUCCGGGGCUAGAAGCGGCGCAUCGCCCGCCGCCCGAUUGCCGACCCUCGGUAGGAGCUUGGCUCCCAAAGGCCGCGUGUCGUUGGCUAAGUCCGUUCGGUGGAGCGCCCGUUGGACCGCUUAAUUAUAAUUACCACCGUGGCGGGUAGAAUCCUUUGCGGGCGACUUAAAUCUGCGACGGGGUAUUGUAAGUGGCAGAGUGGCCUUGCUGCCACGAUCCACUGAAUUCAGCCCUUUGUUAAGCUAAGAUUGAACCCUCCCCCUUUC